UGGCCCAUCCUAAUUCUUGCAAGUCAGCCUGUAGCCCACCAGGUAUUGUUUGUUAGGCAGAGGACCUCAGAAUCCUCACCUGAAUGAGUGAGUAGAGUUUUAGUGGGGCUGUGCCACAGGUCCUCCUGGACACUC
rnacentral:snoRNA from 1 species